GCGAUGCCCCUGGCACACCUGUGCAUGGCCCCGGGGAUCAGGCUGCAUCUCCAGAGCACUGACUCAAGCAUAACUGGGGCCUCCAGCCCCCCUCGCCAGAGGCCCCUUUAACAGAGAGCGACACAC